rnacentral:rRNA from 1 species
UGGGGAAUCUUGGACAAUGGGGGCAACCCUGAUCCAGCGAUGCCGCGUGGGUGAAGAAGGCCUUCGGGUUGUAAAGCCCUUUAGGUUGGGACGAAGCGUUAGAGAGGAAAUGCUCGAACGUUGACGGUACCGACAGAAUAAGCACCGGCAAACUCUGUGCCAGCAGCCGCGGUAAUACAGAGGGUGCGAGCGUUAAUCGGAGUUACUGGGCGUAAAGGGCGCGUAGGCGGAGUAAUGAGUGUGAUGUGAAAGCCCUGGGCUUAACCCGGGAAGUGCAUCGCAAACGAUUGCUCUGGAGUACAAGAGAGGGUGGCGGAAUUUCCGGUGUAGCGGUGAAAUGCGUAGAGAUCGGAAGGAACGCCAAUGGCGAAGGCAGCCACCUGGCUUGAUACUGACGCUGAGGCGCGAAAGCGUGGGGAGCGAACAGGAUUAGAUACCCCUGUAGUCC